rnacentral:rRNA from 1 species
GAUGAACGCUGGCGGCGUGCCUAAUACAUGCAAGUCGAGCGAACAGACGAGGAGCUUGCUCCUCUGACGUUAGCGGCGGACGGGUGAGUAACACGUGGAUAACCUACCUAUAAGACUGGGAUAACUUCGGGAAACCGGAGCUAAUACCGGAUAAUAUAUUGAACCGCAUGGUUCAAUAGUGAAAGACGGUUUUGCUGUCACUUAUAGAUGGAUCCGCGCCGCAUUAGCUAGUUGGUAAGGUAACGGCUUACCAAGGCUACGAUGCGUAGCCGACCUGAGAGGGUGAUCGGCCACACUGGAACUGGGACACGGUCCAGACUCCUACGGGAGGCAGCAGUAGGGAAUCUUCCGCAAUGGGCGAAAGCCUGACGGAGCAACGCCGCGUGAGUGAUGAAGGUCUUCGGAUCGUAAAACUCUGUUAUUAGGGAAGAACAAAUGUGUAAGUAACUAUGCACGUCUUGACGGUACCUAAUCAGAAAGCCACGGCUAACUACGUG